rnacentral:lncRNA from 1 species
GAGAGGAAGUGCGCCCAACGCCAUAGGGAGGUCAAGAGAGUCAAGGAUAGAAACAAAUGUGUCCAUUAGAUUAGCAACCAAGAAGGACUUAGAGCGCUCAGCGCAAGGAAUUUCUGUGAAGUGGGAGAGACAGACUGCAGAUGUUGGGAUUGUGCAAAAAGAAGAUAUUUGUCUGGAGUUUAUACUUAAAAAUAACUGUUGUUAAGCCAAAGAAUGUGGGGGUACUUCUUCUACACAGAUCCUCCUUCUGAAGAUGUUGGUCUUCUUCCUUGCCUGCCACCCCCUCCCACACUUGAUUCAAAUGGAAGGUUGACUUUCUUGGAUGGCAAGGAUUAUGUUCACUCUCCCCUUCUGGAACUGUUCUCUGUGGAUAUGUCCCGUGAUUGUCAGAUCAACAUUCUGAGCUUGUGCUUAGAAACCAUCUUUGGAGGGUGUCAAUGCAUC